rnacentral:snoRNA from 1 species
GCUGCAGAAGUGAUGAGUACUUCAUGUCUCUUCUCUGACUAAACAUCAAUGAAGAGCUAUUUUACAACUCUGAUCUCAGCAUC